UUAAGUGACCCUGAUACUGCUGGCUUUUUUAACAGUUAUACUGCAGCUUGAUCACUGAAGAUGGAAAAGGACUUACAGAGAUAUGAAGAUAUUCUCCUGAAAUAUGCAGAAAAUUAAUGAAUUUUGAUUAACUGUGGAAGAAGUAGUCUAUUGA